UUCGUCAUUCAGAUAUUUUUGGACUGUCAAGAUGCUUUUGAGAAUAAGUCAUGAACAUUGACAUUUAUUUUUUAAUUGACAGUCUGCUUUAUAUGUGGUGCUGGAUGCUCCCUUUUAUUACACCAUAGUAAGUAGCUCUUUUUAGAGAGCAAUAAAGUAUGUGUGCAAAGAAGUCACUAAAUGACACUAAAUUGAUUUUUAAUAGUUAGACAUGCCGAAAUUGCGGAAAUGGUGGUGCCUGCUGCUAAUGGAAAACUUCGAUCUCCGAAGUUAUGGGAAGGUAUUUGCACACUGGACAAAGGAAUCAGAGGCUGUGCUGAGAGGUGAACAUGCACCUGUAUUCAGACUAAGAAAGCGCAAAUCUGUGGAACUUAGCCUGAAACCAGCAGAAGGGAUGUGCUGGAUGGAGACAACAUAGAAUCCAAGGAGCCAUUCCUCUUUGGUUUUCAGGUCCAAGAGGACAUGGAAUUAUUUUUACAGGCCUGUG